ensembl:lncRNA
CAAUAUGAACGCGUCAUCACCCACGUGGUGAAGAAGAACGUUGCCAUUUUGCACUUAUGUUGAAUGCGCGUGGACCUGAGGUCGGAGGUAUCUUUCAAGUGAUGUGGCAGUGUAAGGGGUGUUCCGUUGCAGUAGCUACAUUACCAUCAUUACAUGAUUCUUCAGCUGAUUGCCAGGAUGAGGAGUUUGUGGAAGGGGAAGUUUCUGUUGCACCCCUAGAUAAAUGCAGAAUUUAAGCGCAUUACCACCAUGCCCCUGCAAUCCAGAUUUCGGUCACAGCUGGAUGUACGAUCUGACAAACUUCUAAAGCUGUUCGAAAAACGAGGAGGACAGAUAGGCAAGCGUCUUGAGAGAACUUUGGCCCCCAUGACUCAAGACGAUGACGUUGAUGCAGGGCGGGAAUGUGUUCUCAAGUGGCUGUGUGUGUACCUCAACGAAGGCCCAGCAAAUCUUGUCAGGGAGUUUGUGGCAGAGAACGAAGCUGUCAUCAAAAUCGAUUGAGGACACCACGUGGGAAUAUUUGUCGUGAAAAAUGAUGCAACCAGUGGUCCAGAGGACGUGGGGAUUGUCCUGGAAGGCCUGCAGAUAAUGCAAGGACUGGACAACACUGCAUUAGCUGCUGCCAUAUUGUUUGGCCUAAUGUAUGUAUUGAACCUCAACUACCCUCCUGAGCUAAAGUACACGUUUGAAGUGCGCCAAAAAGUUGUGAUGGAGCUGGACGGCACCACGCGCUCAAAGAAAGCCCAAGUUCUCAAAAACAGACUGAGUGAGCUGUUGUCCUUGGAUCUUUUUGCUCAUCGACUUGAUUCUGGACUGUUCACAUGCAACUUUGCUGUUCUUUGUUCUUGCAGUAUUUACAUACAGCAUGUCUACUGUAUUAUCAAAUGAAUGUUUUUUUCUGGAGCUCAUGCGUUCCCAAAAUGUGACUCGGAUUUGCUGUUUUCUCUUAAAGUAAUAGAGCUGCUGAAUGAGCUGUUGCCAUGGACCAUGUUUGCUCUGUGAAUGCACUUGUCUUUUGACAUGCACUCAUGCAGCUUUAGUUUUUCCUGUAUUAUUUUUGCAGUAUUUAGAUUCUUGGAAGAUUUACAUUUGUUGUAGGAUUAAUGAUGUUUGUCCAGGUCUACUGAUGGUCUACUCAUUGUUUGUUGUGCGGUGAUUCAUUCAAAACACUGGCAGUACUUUUUUAUUUUAUUAUUUAAUUACACUUUUAUGCAAAGUAAAAAAAAACAUAAUGCAACCUAACAUGUUGUUUUGGGAUUUCAGUGUUAAUGUCUGUUUUCAAAAAGAUUGUUAAUUUGGCACAAUUGUCAGAUUGUAGCAGUUGUGGAUGUUUACUGUUUUCUCCUGAUUGGGUCCUGCUGUACUGCGUACAAAUUGCAUGUCCAAACUAUUGCUAUUUGAAGGUGGAGUCAGCGAUUAAGGGGAAUUAUUGUUGUAAAAAAAAAGUGAAUAUCUCUUUAUGAUCCGCUACCUGUCCGUACUUAUGUGCUAUAAAUCCUUUGUUAGUGCUCAGCCUAGGCUCUGUAAACCAAAUUUAAGCAGUAUUAUUCGUAAUACAACAUUUAUUUACCAUAUUUCUAGGUAAUUUCAUUGUUUUAAAAUGUGAAUGUUUCUAAUCAAACAUUAAAAACAACAUGAAAAUAAUAAUUACAACUAC